rnacentral:rRNA from 1 species
UCGGCGGGGGUGCCCGAAAGGGAAUUGGAACACAGGUGCUGCAUGGCUGUCGUCAGCUCGUGUCGUGAGAUGUUGGGUUAAGUCCCGCAACGAGCGCAACCCUUAUCAUUAGUUGCUACGCAAGGGCACUCUAAUGAGACUGCCGGUGACAAACCGGAGGAAGGUGGGGAUGACGUCAAGUCCUCAUGGCCCUUAUGGGUAGGGCUUCACACGUCAUACAAUGGUCGGUACAGAGGGUUGCCAAGCCGCGAGGUGGAGCCAAUCCCAGAAAGCCGAUCGUAGUCCGGAUUGUUCUCUGCAACUCGAGAGCAUGAAGUCGGAAUCGCUAGUAAUCGCGGAUCAGCAUGUCGCGGUGAAUACGUUCCCGGGUCUU